rnacentral:rRNA from 1 species
UACCAGCACCCCGAGUGGUCGUGACGAUUAUUGGGCCUAAAGCAUCCGUAGCCGGUUCUACAAGUCUUCCGUUAAAUCCACCUGCUUAACAGAUGGGCUGCGGAGGAUACUAUAGAGCUAGGAGGCGGGAGAGGCAAGCGGUACUUAGUGGGUAGGGGUAAAAUCCGUUGAUCCAUUGAAGACCACCAGUGGCGAAGGCGGCUUGCCAGAACGCACUCGACGGUGAGGGAUGAAAGCUGGGGGAGCAAACCGG